CAGACACUGAAGAAGGAAGAUGUGACCUGUCCUGCUGAAAAAGGGAGUCAACAGCAAAGAAUGGUCGGCUGCGGAAAUUCUUUUGGUUUGUUUUCAUCUCACACAUCUGAGAAUGUCGGGGACCCCUUCAUUCCCGGAAGCAGGAAGAGUGAGGCAAGCUGUCCGCCACCUUUGCCCAGUGCAGCAGAGAAAUCACUACCAGGUCCUUGGCUCUCUUGUGCCCACAGAAUCCUCUAGAGUAGGACAGCUCUAGACAUAACCAGGUUCCAAAAAUAAAAUAUAGAAGUCAGUGGCAGGUUCUUCUGCAACUAUCAUGACCCGGCUAGGUGAUAAUCGAGGAGAAAUGGCGCUCAGGAUCUCUUAUGUGACCUGAGAUACACCGAGGCUGGAGAAGAGGUCAGGUUGGAAAUCCGGUGAAGAAGGGGAACACCUAGUGCAUCUCUCAUUGAAACUGUGACUGCUCUUCUCAAGUCUUCAGGGUUUUGGUUGCUGUAAACCCGCAUCUAAAGUCACUUGUGCUAGGAGGAAAGUGGAGAUCAGAAAUAGAAACUGUGCUUAAAGCAAAGAAAUGUAAGGCUUUGCCUGUGAAGUCGGGGAAAUUAAAGCUGAGUAAUUUGGACCUCAAAAACCACCAGUGCUCGCUAGCUGGGUCACUUCCUGUUUGUGGGGAAUCAAGCGGCUCCCACCGGCAGCUAAGAAGGAUCUGCUGUGUACUGGAUUCGGAUGUGAGUUCCUCAGAAACGUCCUCUCUUCCACUGAGUGUUCCUGGACAUUGGCCCAGGCUCAUUUCUUCCUGAGGAGGGCGGAAUCUCAUUACAGGAAGCUGUGGACAUGGAACCCUCAUUACA